CCUCGCCGAGAGAAAGGUGGCUUCUACGCGGCAGGCAGGCAGCGGGCAGCGUCUGUGCUGGGCCGCUCUUCAGGAAGCAGGGACCUCCCAGCCAGCCCUGACAUGAGUUGUCACUGCACCAAGGAAGGUGUCUCAUGUGAUUUGCAAUGCCCCAGGAUAUCCAAGACAUCUAUAUGGGAUUGGUUGAUGUGGCACAAGAUCUGUAGAAGACCAUCACCCUUCUGCAACAGCAGCUGAAGGCAGGAUGCUCCAGGACGCCUCAAAAGCCAUUAGACAGGGUCAGGAGGACUAAACCUACAAAGAAUUCCUGAAAUUCGCAGAGGUAGAGCCACUGGAGAUUCUGACAUGUUAGAGAGCUGUGUGACUUUCUUUGGAUGAGGCUGCCCGAAAGAUUCUUGUUCCUCUUGUCCAUUCUCCAGACCCAUUUCAAUGACCACAGCGCAAAAGAAGAGGGGCAGACUUCAGAGGUUCUUGCUGGACAGCAGGAAGCAACAUUUUAUUUCAAGUUACUUGAAACUGAAAUUUCUCGUUCCUUUUAUCAAAUUCAGCUCUCAUGCAAAGUUGAUAAAUCCAAGCCUUGUCAUUCACACAUGUAAUAUUUCUUAGAAAAUUGUAAGAGAAAAGAUCAGCUAGAAUUCAGACUAUUAGAGUUUCAGUCCAGAUAACCUGAGACGCUAAAUCUGCCUGUUACACUUACUGCAGAUGAGUUCAAAAAUCAGUAUCUGAAUGAUGCACAAGCUUUUUGCUUCAUGUAUACUAUGAUUCUUAGUUGCAUGUAGUAACCAUAUACUUUCAGAUUUUCCAUUGGAAUGAAUAUAGAUGAACAGUUAGGCAUACUGAUUACAAAUAGGUGUGAUACAGAAUGCUUUCAACUAAGACCAAAUUAUUUUGUGUGCUUUGUCUUAUUUUCACUAGUGUCAGAAUUUGCUUUGUGCAUUACCUUGUGAAAUACAUAAUGCAGUGUUGUGAAACAAUGUAGUGACAAGCAAACUGAAAAUAAUCUUUACUGGCUUUGAUGACCAUGGAUGCACAUGGUGUCCCUUCAGCAUAGUGCAGUUUUGAAUUUCCAGCUGUUCUACACAGAUUUCUUGUUCUGCUGCUGUGACAUUCUCAAAUCUGUGGAACUAUAAAUAUUGUGCAGAUGUUUAUUUACUGUUUAAAAUCAUGUGAUUGUUUCCCUCCAGAAGACAACAGGCGACCUACUUCUUAAAAAAGUAAUUAAGAAAUUUGACAGAGAACUAAUGAUUCACAGUGUUAAAUUAACUUACAUGUUAUAAAAUAGGCAUUUUAACUUUUCCUAUCAUUGAUCUGAUUGUUGUAUUCAUGAUACAUUACCUGUAUUCAAACUGGGACCUUUGCUUAUGUAGGAAACAUUUAUUAAUAUGGCAUUAUUACCACAGACCUAAUCCAUACAUAGUUUGGUUUUUGGUAACUAUUUCAUAUUUUGCUUGCAUAUGCAACCAUGAGUCUCUCUCUUUUGCUAUGAAAAUGCCCAGUGAUGUCAUUGCAUAAACAAUAGAUGCUUAUUUUUCUUCA